UACAGAGGGUGCGAGCGUUGUCCGGAAUCACUGGGCGUAAAGGGUGCGUAGGCGGGUCUUUUAAGUCAGGGGUGAAAUCCUGGAGCUCAACUCCAGAACUGCCUUUGAUACUGAAGAUCUUGAGUUCGGGAGAGGUGAGUGGAACUGCGAGUGUAGAGGUGAAAUUCGUAGAUAUUCGCAAGAACACCAGUGGCGAAGGCGGCUCACUGGCCCGAUACUGACGCUGAGGCACGAAAGCGUGGGGAGCAAACAGGG
rnacentral:rRNA from 1 species